rnacentral:rRNA from 1 species
UACGUAGGGGGCUAGCGUUGUCCGGAAUCAUUGGGCGUAAAGAGCGUGUAGGCGGCCCGGUAAGUCCGCUGUAAAAGUCAAAGGCUCAACCUUUGAAUGUCAGUGGAUACUGCCGGGCUAGAGUCCGGAAGAGGCGAGUGGAACUCCUGGUGUAGCGGUGGAAUGCGCAGAUAUCAGGAAGAACACCAACGGCGAAGGCAGCUCGCUGGGACGGUACUGACGCUGAGGAGCGAAAGCCAGGGGAGCAAACGGG